UACCGAGUUUACAACUCCCAAACCCCUGUGAACAUACCAAUUGUUGCCUCGGCGGAUCAGCCCGCUCCCGGUAAAACGGGACGGCCCGCCAGAGGACCCCUAAACUCUGUUUCUAUAUGUAACUUCUGAGUAAAACCAUAAAUAAAUCAAAACUUUCAACAACGGAUCUCUUGGUUCUGGCAUCGAUGAAGAACGCAGCAAAAUGCGAUAAGUAAUGUGAAUUGCAGAAUUCAGUGAAUCAUCGAAUCUUUGAACGCACAUUGCGCCCGCCAGUAUUCUGGCGGGCAUGCCUGUUCGAGCGUCAUUUCAACCCUCAAGCCCUCGGGUUUGGUGUUGGGGAUCGGCGAGCCCUCGCGGCAAGCCGGCCCCGAAAUAUAGUGGCGGUCUCGCUGCAGCUUCCAUUGCGUAGUAGUAAAACCCUCGCAACUGGUACGCGGCGCGGCCAAGCCGUUAAACCCCCAACUUCUGAAUGUUGACCUCGGAUCAGGUAGGAAUACCCGCUGAACUUAAGCAUAUCA
rnacentral:rRNA from 1 species